AAACUAUAAAACGACAUGUUGCUCUUGUCAACUCUGGUGGUGUGUAUUUUAAAUACCGAGGCGUUAAUUCAACAACCCUGUAAGACAUCAGGGGAAUGUAACUCUGAUGAAUGUUGUAUAUUCAAAAUAUCAUUCGAGGGUAAAAGACAACUAAUCGGUUAUUGUUCACCCAGAGCUGCUGAAAAUGAAAAGUGUGUGAUGUUUACGAAGUAUUCACCUACCGUAAGGUAUGGUACAUGUCCCUGUGCUGAUGGCUAUAUUUGUGACAGUCGUGGAGUGAUGGAUAUCAGAGGUGUAUGUAGAAAGAGCGUAAACGAUGGACACACCAGUUAAUUGCUGUUCAUUCCUGUUUGUACGACCAACUCGAAUAACACCGAUAUUGUCAAUAAAAAUCAU